rnacentral:rRNA from 1 species
AAUAGAUACCCUGGUAGUCCACGCCGUAAACGAUGAGUGCUAAGUGUUAGGGGGUUUCCGCCCCUUAGUGCUGCAGCUAACGCAUUAAGGCACUCCGCCUGGGGAGUACGGUCGCAAGACUGAAACUCAAAGGAAUUGACGGGGGCCCGCACAAGCGGUGGAGCAUGUGGUUUAAUUCGAAGCAACGCGAAGAACCUUACCAGGUCUUGACAUCCCACUGACCGCUAUGGAGACAUAGUUUUCCCUUCGGGGACAGUGGUGACAGGUGGUGCAUGGUUGUCGUCAGCUCGUGUCGUGAGAUGUUGGGUUAAGUCCCGCAACGAGCGCAACCCUUGAUCUUAGUUGCCAUCAUUUAGUUGGGCACUCUAAGGUGACUGCCGGUGACAAACCGGAGGAAGGUGGGGAUGACGUCAAAUCAUCAUGCCCCUUAUGACCUGGGCUACACACGUGCUACAAUGGACGGUACAAACGGUUGCCAACCCGCGAGGGGGAGCUAAUCCGAUAAAACCGUUCUCAGUUCGGAUUGUAGGCUGCAACUCGCCUAC